AACUCCCCACGGACUUCAGGGCGAGGAGGUGGUGUUGCCACUGUUUUUAGAAAUUCUUUUAAAUGCAGAACACUACCUAUGGACAUGUAUUCCAGUUUUGAGGUCCAACUGUUAAAGAUUGAAAUCUUGGGUCCUGCUUUUUUUGCAAUUUUCAGAAUUUCUCUCUGGACUGGUGUCUCGUGGUGAUAGACUCCUGAUUCUUGGGGAUUUUAAUAUUAAUGUAUGCUGUCCAUCAAACCCUCUGGUAAAUGAAUUUAUCUCCCUCACUUAGUCUUUACAUUUUGUAUGACAUGUCAUUGGUCCUACUCACAAUAUGGGUCAUACAUACAUUAGAUAUUGUGUUAUCUUAUGGUCUUUCUUUAUCCAACUUAGAGGUCUUAGAUAUUGGCAUUUCUGAUCAUUAUUCAAUCAUGUUUGAGUCUGUAUCUACUUGUCCUCUGCCUACUUUUUCUUAGCCCUACGUCACUUCCAGUCCAUUCACCCGUCUACUGCCAGUCUUUUUUCAGAAAUGUAUCUAACUCAUUUCACAAAUGAUGUCUUAGCUGGACUCGACACUGAAUCAUUGGUUGAAGCUUUCUUGACCCUAUUAAAAGCCUAGCUGCCACGUUUUGAACUAGCUGUAGGCGGGAUAAUGCAGUUUGGGGCAGACCAAUUCCUGGACACACUACAAUAAAAACCAGCCCAUCUGGCACCAACAAUCAUACCACGGUCUAAAUCACUGAGAUUGCAUUUUUUCCCCAUUCUGAUGGUUGAUGUGAACAUUAACUGAAGCUCCUGACCCAUAUCUGCAUGAUUUUAUACAUUACACUGCCGCCACAUGAUUGGCUGAGUAGAAAAUCGCAUGAAUAAAUGGAUGUACAGGUGUACCUAAUAAAGUGGCCGGUGAGUAUAUGUACCUACAACAAUAUCUACAAGCCUCUCUGCAUUGAUUAAAUGAAGUUUUGUGAGAAAAAGUGAGAGUGUGUUUGGGGGAUAAUCACUUUGUUCUUUAGUGGUCCUUUGUGUGACUGUGAGAACAGUUCUUGAGAGUAUGUUUGUUUGAAGCUCUAAUGGCAGGAGUCAGCAGUCACAUUGUGCUGGUUUAGGCACAGUUAUAUGCAUUACUGCUGUAGUCAGAGGUCCGUAUUUGAAUGCUUUUCACAGAUCUGUGUGUAAUGCACUACAGAUCUCAAGCACAUUUGCAAUUCAACUCAGAAGAAACACAGAAACAAAUCGGGCAGGAUUAAUUUCUUAAACAAUCAUCUUUAAAUGUGAGAAACAUUAAGUAUGAUUUCAGCAUAACUGAAAGUGACUCCUAAUGUCUCCCUGCCUUUCUCUACAAUCUGUUCCUCUCUGCUCUGGUUGUAUUAACUGUGUUACCUGAUUUUAAAAGAUUAGUUUGCAUUGAGGGCUUAGUGUAAGCUAAGACACACUGCUUUCUCUCUGUCUCUCUGCAGGUAGGCAGGUUCUUAAUAAUAGCAUUGCAAACACCACAGAAAAAAAUUGUAAUGAUUAUUAUUUAUUUAUCUUAUUUGCAUCAUUAAGACUUCUGUAGUAUGCUUUGCCAAAUAAAAUAAAAAAAUCAGAAGAUCUGAGACACUUAAAAGUAAGACCACAAAACGAGGAAACAAUGAGUGGAAGACAAGCAAAUGAGGAGAACUGAAGAGGUAUUUUUCUGCACUGGAGAAUAAUUCCCUGAGGCACUUCAACAAAAAAACAAUGAAAUUAGGGACUCUUGUGUUGUUGCCGCUGUUGCUAUUUCUGGGGCCCAUGCAAGUGCUGUUCACUCAAGUGCCUGUAACUGCACUUACUGAAAGAAUAGCUGUGGAGGAAGAUCAUGGUAGUGGUAAGAAAAGUAUUUGUUCAUUACACCAAUAAACUAAGAGUAUUAGUUAUUUGUUUUGAAUGGUUCUUCGCCUACUGACGCUGAACCAAUGAUAAACAAUUUGUUUUACUUUGAAAUGUCUGGCUGAUAAAAGAUGUGUACAUUUGAACAAUGAAGACUGCACUGUAUGCCUUAGGUCUAUUAGAGGUGGAACAGGAAGAUAAGCUGGCAGACACGUACUGGUCUGGAACAGCCCCCCUUUGUUUUGGAGGGUGUAAGGGCAGACACAGGGAGCUGAAGAGGGACAGAUGUGGAGACUCUGUGUGCUGCUGGGUGGGAUACAAAUCCCUCUGUAGAGUGAAUUGUGGAAAGCCUGAUCUGGACUUUAAUGGCAUGGUGUCAGGGAAUGAUUGGUGGGUGGGUUCUGUGGUAAGGUAUGACUGCAGGCCAGGGUUCGUGUUGGUGGGGGAUCCUAUUCGAACCUGCCAGUCCAAUGGGAAAUGGACCCCUAAACCGUCUUGCCUCGGAGUUUGUCAUCAUGGCCGGACGGAGAUCAAUGAAAAAGACAUUGACGGGACGUGUGCAUCCACUGUCCAGAUGCUAAGAGCUAUGCGGUCCCUCUGAACCAUGACUGCAGUCGCAUUGAGAACUGCAGGACUAAAGAAUCGGGCUGGAAGCGCUGGUUCAGACAAUGUAACUACUGUGACUGUGACUGCUUCAUUCCCUGUGCUUCUGCAGGAUAGACAAGAGUGAAUAUAUUUUUAUUUUUAUUAUUUUAUAUGAAGCCAUUUGACCACAAGAGUCUACAAGAAUCUUAAUAUGAUUGUAGAGAAUGUAGGUUGACAUGCAACUUAAAGUUUUUCUUUUUAAACUGAAGAUGAAGACAUUUCAUACUGAUCUCAUCAGAUUCUAAAUAUCACUGGAAUUGGAGGCUAGAGACCUGUGUGUUAAUUACUAACUACAAAACCCUGGAUACUGAAUGUUGCUGUUUUUCUCACUGAUCUGUGUUUAGUACCGAGCUGAACCCUUAAUCUUGUUAACCUCCUAACAUAAACCAUGUGAGGAGGUAAUUAUGUGAGCAUUGAAUGUUCUUUAUAAAAGUUAGUAAGGACUCAGGAUUGUUGAAAGACCAGGGAAGCUUUUCAGUUCCAUCAGCUCUUAGUUUUAUUGUAGUAUUACCCUAUAUAAUUAUUAUUAUAAUUAUAGGUCAAUCUAUUGGUGAACCUCAGAAUAAUAGUCUCAUCUUUCUGGGGUUGGUAGCAGAACAGAAAACAGACAUUUUCUUAGGUUGUCAUAUGUAUAGACAUUUCAGCAUAAUUAAUCUGAUUUUAAAAUUGAGAUUUUUGUGCAGUAUUUUGUAUUGUGUACUAGUGAAGAAAAAGUGACUUUCUUACUCCAUAGCAUUUACAUACAUAUUCAGGGACUAUGCAGAAAGUAUGUAUUAUUUAAUUAUCUCCAUACACCAAGAGACUCUUACCCACUUCCAGUCGGGUUAUGGUGCCUGCUAUCUCAGACAGAAGCUCCCAGUAUGUCUGGUACUCAUUGGACCCAGCCAACCCAUUCACACUCUCCAGAUAUAUGCAAAAGUCUUUGUGAAUUGUAUAGUUGAAACUAUUGUACAGUAUUACCAGAAAUAAAGGUUGCAAAUUACCACUAAAAACAGAUGAGCAAAUGUUAGGAGGCUGCUUUCCUAAUAUUUCAUAAUAGUCCUGAGCCUUGCACAAUUGAUUGAUGAGACUGGCCUUCAGGUCUGCCUGCAGAAGCAUAGUCUCAUCAGAGAGUAUGAAAUAAUAAUCUUAUAUUAUACAAUAGGAUUGAUCCUGUGACAAACCAUUUGACAAAAUUAAUGUGAAGUGAACGAAGCAUUAAGAAAUGUAAUAAAAAAAAUUGUGGAAUACCUGAACUCAUGGAUUGGGAAAUUAGCUAGGUUAUUUAAGACUCCAAACAGCAACCCUUGCUCUACCAUUUCGCUGGAGUAGGAGAUCUGCGCAUCAGUCAAAGCAUUAAUGACAGUAACCUUAACGGGCACUUUUUCUAGUUCGCUUGUUCAGAAGAGAGAAGAAAAGAGUGACAUUUCUUCUCUGGGUGUUAUUCAGUCAGAAUACAGGCAAUCAGGUUACUUUGUUCAAAAAAUAUAAAAAUGCAUUUGCUAAUUUAGUUAGUUAUUGUAGGGUACACCGAGUACAGAUGUAGCGGAGUACAGUUGAAACACUAUGAAUAUUUCGCUUCUAAUGCAAACUUUCAUUAUCAGUAUGCAUAUUUACAUUACCAUCCUCUCUCUGUGUGGAAAAUGUAAAGAACAUAGUGCACAUUAAUCAAACAUGAUUAGAGAACAUCAGUUUUGGGGGUAUUUAUUUUUUUAUUUAUUUUUUUAUUUUAUUCAUUGUGAAUAAAUCAUUAUUUCUGAAAGACCAUCAAAGGAAACUUUGCUUGUUGUAAUUACUGAUUUAUCUACCUUCAAUUAGUGUAUUUUGGGACAUCCUAGGAUGUAAGGUCACAGAGAAAAUCAGGCAAGCAUGCAAGGUGAUCCACAGGUCACGUUGCAUAAGAAGCAUGGUUGCCAGUGCUCCUUCUAGAGAUUUGUUAGCUUUUAUUCAGUCAGAAAGCUUAGAUAAGUAAGCAAAACAAUUUAUUAUGGAGGGAUGGAUGGAUGGAAAUGUUAGUUAGUUUGUUAUCCUCAACCUGAUACGAGUCAUUCUGUGACAUGCACACACAUGCAAACAAACCAAAAUACUAAUUUAAAAUAAUAUGAUUUCUAGCUGAUGUGUUAGAAAUUAUACAUAUUCUAGCAUAAGCAAUACUUUAAAGCAAUCACAGAGUAUAAAAUGUGUCAGUAUAUUUCACUUAAGUUAGGCAUAAUGCCUUAUUUAGCACAUUACAACUGUCCUGGUGUAGUGUUACCUGGUACCUGGUAUAGGGACAGUUGUAACAAAAGUGCUCCUUGUCUUCAAACCCUGAUUGUAGAAAAUAGGAACAAUGUAUGCAGUUUUUUGACAUGUUUUGUAAGUAGAUAGAUAAAGGUAUCUCAUGUGAAAAAAUGGGAUGUUUAUUCUGCUCUAUAUUUGUGCAGUACAGCAAAAAGUGUUAUAACUGUACUCAGUUUACCCUACUCUGCAUAACAUUGUUAAAAUGAUUUCUUAACUUUCUUAAUAUGUAACUUUUUUCUGGUAGCAAAGUGUAUCAAGAUUGAAAAAAUAAAUGUAUUUUUAUUAAACAUUGCUGGAGCAAUAUAAUUUGUGUUGAUAGACAUUUGGAGUAAAAGGCCUCCACAUUUGGGGUAAAAGCAUUUGUUUUAUGGUGGCCUUUAGCCCCAGCAACAAGGGGGCUUUUAAACCCAAAUACUAUCCUUUCACUUACUGGACAGUUAUUAAAAAACUUUUGAUUUAAUUACCUUGAACAAAACAAAACUGAAAAUGACAAAUAAGAAUUGUAUCUCAAAAUGUAAUAAAUUCAGGGAUUCUCAUUAACAGUUACAUAAAUUUGCAAAACUUAAAAAGUUAAUAAAUAUUAGAUAAAAUUACCUCAAAAUCAACCUUUAGAUAUUGCACACUAUGACCUUAUGGAUCAGGAAAAUGUUGCAGUGUAUAGUGACAAACAGGUGUUUAGGAAAGUACUGUGGAAGUUUUUGUUGCUAUGUCGUUUUUUGGGAGAAAAUCAAAUUAAAAGUACCAUUUACCCCUUAUUAAGUACCUUAUGUACCC